AUUGAACGCUGGCGGCAGGCUUAACACAUGCAAGUCGAACGGAUCCUUCGGGAUUAGUGGCGGACGGGUGAGUAACACGUGGGAACGUGCCCUUUGGUUCGGAACAACUCAGGGAAACUUGAGCUAAUACCGGAUGUGCCCUUCGGGGGAAAGAUUUAUCGCCAUUGGAGCGGCCCGCGUCUGAUUAGCUAGUUGGUGAGGUAAAGGCUAACCAAGGCGACGAUCAGUAGCUGGUCGGAGAGGAUGAUCAGCCACAUUGGGACUGAGACACGGCCCAAACUCCUACGGGAGGCAGCAGUGGGGAAUCUUGCGCAAUGGGCGAAAGCCUGACGCAGCCAUGCCGCGUGAAUGAUGAAGGUCUUAGGAUUGUAAAGUUCUUUCACCGGGGACGAUAAUGACGGUACCCGGAGAAGAAGCCCCGGCUAACUUCGUGCCAGCCGCCGCAGUAAAAC
rnacentral:rRNA from 1 species